rnacentral:rRNA from 1 species
ACUCUUGGUUAUUCUAAGAAGUGUAAUGAGGAUAAUUUAAAACCCUUACCGAAAGCAAUUGGGGGGCAAGUCUGGUGCCAGCAGCCGCGGUAAUUCCAGCUCCAAUAGCGUAUAUUAAAGUUGUUGCAGUUAAAAGCUCGUAGUUGAAGUUCUGGCUGCUUGACCCUCGAGCUCUGUAGCCGAGGGCUCAGCAGUCAUCCGCUUGCAAAUAUAUGUUCGCCUUUAACCGGGCGGCUAUAUGAGUAAGCAUUUUACCUUGAGAAAAACAGAGUGUUCCAGGCAGGUUUGUCCGGAAUGCAUUAGCAUGGAAUAAUAGAAUAUGACUGAAGUCGAUUUAUUGGUUUGAGGCUUUAGUAAUGAUUAAUAGGAACAGUCGGGGGCAUUGGUACUUGUCAGUCAGAGGUGAAAUUCUAGGAUUUGACAAAGACUAACAAAUGCGAAAGCAUUUGCCAAGGAUGUUUUCAUUAAUCAAGAACGAAAGUUAGGGGAUCAAAGACGAUCAGAUACCGUCCUAGUCUUAACUAUAAACUAUACCGACUCGGAUUCAGAUGAAUCAUAAAGUUCAUUUGGGACCGUAGGAGAAAUCAAAGCUUUUGGGUUCUGGGGGAAGUAUGGUCGCAAGGCUGAAACUUAAAGGAAUUGACGGUUUUGCACCACCAUGGAGUGGAGUCUGCGGCUUAAUUUGACCCAACACUGGGAAACUCAUCAGGGCAAGAAGAUUGUAGGAUUGACAGAUUGAGAGUUCUUUCUUGAUUGGUCUAGUGGUGGUGCAUGGCCGUUCUUAGUUGGUGGAGUGAUUUGUCUGGUUAAUUCCGUUAACGAACGAGACCUUAACCUGCUAACUAGUACACCGAUGACAAAUCGGUGAUACUUCUUAGAGGGACUAUGUGAUGUAAUCACAUGGAAGUUUGAGGCAAUAACAGGUCUGUGAUGCCCUUAGAUGUCCUGAGCUGCACGCGUACUACAAUGGUGCUUUCAUCGAGCUUUUCCUGAUCCGAAAGGAUUUGGGUAAUCUUUUUAGUGAGCACCGUGCUUGGGAUAGAUCUUUGUAAUUAUGGAUCUUGAACUAGGAAUUCCUAGUAAGCACGUGUCAUCAGCACGUGCUGAUUACGUCCCUGCAAAAUGUACACACCGCCCGUCGCUAUUACCGAUUGAGUGUAAAGGUGAACCUUCUCGAUAGGCGCAAGCUUAGAAAUUAAGUAAACCUUUGCACUUAGAGGAAAUAAAAGUCGUAACAAGGUUUCCGUAGGUGAACCUGCGGAAG